rnacentral:rRNA from 1 species
AACGAACGCUGGCGGCAGGCCUAACACAUGCAAGUCGAACGCUGUAGCAAUACAGAGUGGCAGACGGGUGAGUAACGCGUGGGAACCUUCCCAAUGGUGCGGAAUAGCUCAGGGAAACUUGAGGUAAUACCGCAUAAGCCCUUAGGGGGAAAGAUUUAUCGCCAUUGGAUGGGCCCGCGUCGGAUUAGCUAGUUGGUGAGGUAAUGGCUCACCAAGGCAACGAUCCGUAGCUGGUUUGAGAGAAUGACCAGCCACACUGGGACUGAGACACGGCCCAGACUCCUACGGGAGGCAGCAGUGGGGAAUCUUGGACAAUGGGCGCAAGCCUGAUCCAGCCAUGCCGCGUGAGUGACGAAGGCCUUAGGGUUGUAAAGCUCUUUUGCCGGGGACGAUAAUGACGGUACCCGGAGAAUAAGUCCCGGCUAACUUCGUGCCAGCCGCCGCAGUAAAAC